UACGUAGGGUGCAAGCGUUGUCCGGAAUUAUUGGGCGUAAAGAGCUCGUAGGCGGCUUGUCGCGUCGGCUGUGAAAACCUGGGGCUCAACCCCGGGCCCUGCAGCCGAUACGGGCAAGCGUAGAAUUCGGUAGGGGAGACUGGAAUUCCUGGAUGUAGCGGUGAAAUGACGCAGAUAUCAGGAGGAACACCGGUGGCGAAGGCGGCUCUCUGGGACGGUACUGACGCUGAGACGCGAAAGCGUGGGGAGCGAACAGG
rnacentral:rRNA from 1 species